UAGGGAAUCUUCGGCAAUGGAGGGAACCCUGACCGAGCAACGCCGCGUGAGUGAAGAAGGUUUUCGGAUCGUAAAGCUCUGUUGUUAAGGAAGAACGAGUGUGAGAAUGGAAAGUUCAUGCUGUGACGGUACUUAACCAGAAAGGGACGGCUAACUACGUGCCAGCAGCCGCGGUAAUACGUAGGUCCCGAGCGUUGUCCGGAUUUAUUGGGCGUAAAGCGAGCGCAGGCGGUUAGAAAAGUCUGAAGUGAAAGGCAGUGGCUCAACCAUUGUAGGCUUUGGAAACUGUUUAACUUGAGUGCAGAAGGGGGGAGGGGAAUUCCAUGUGUAGCGGUGAAAUGCGUAGUUAUAUGGAGGAACACCGGGGGCGAAAGCGGCUCUCUGGUCUGUAACUGACGCGGAGGCUCGAAAGCGUGGGGAGCGAACAGG
rnacentral:rRNA from 1 species